CCUACGGGUGGCAGCAGUGAGGAAUAUUGGUCAAUGGGCGUAAGCCUGAACCAGCCAAGUCGCGUGAGGGAUGAAGGUUCUAUGGAUCGUAAACCUCUUUUAUAGGGGAAUAAAGUGCGGGACGUGUCCCGAUUUGUAUGUACCUUCUGAAUCAGGAUCGGCUAACUCCGUGCCAGCAGCCGCGGUAAUCCGGAGGAUCCGAGCUUUAUCCGGAUUUAUUGGGUUUAAAGGGGGCGUAGGCGGCCUUUUAAGUAAGCAGGGAAAGUCUGUGGUUCAACCAUAGAAUUGCCGUUGAAGCUGGGAGGCUUGAGUGUGUUUGCGGCAGGCGGAAUGCGUGGUGUAGCGGUGAAAUGCUUAGAU
rnacentral:rRNA from 1 species